AGUCGAGCGAGAUUUUUUCUUGUAGCAAUACAGGGAAAAGUCUAGCGGCGAACGGGUGCUUAACACGUGGGCAACCUGCCGUGAAGUGGGGGAUAGCUCGCCGAAAGGCGAAUUAAUACCGCAUGUGAUUAGAGAGGACAUCCUUUCGAAAUUAAAGUCGGGGCAACCUGACGCUUCUUGUGGGGCCCGCGGCCUAUCAGCUAGUUGGUGAGGUAACGGCUCACCAAGGCUUUGACGGGUAGCUGGUCUGAGAGGACGACCAGCCACACUGGGACUGAGACACGGCCCAGACACCUACGGGUGGCAGCAGUCGAGAAUUUUUGACAAUGGGGGAAACCCUGAUCGAGCGACGCCGCGUGGAGGAUGAAGGUCUUCGGAUUGUAAACUCCUGUCAUUGGGGAACAAGGUGCAUACGUUAACUGCGUGUGUAUUGAUAGUACCCGAAGAGGAAGAGACGGCUAACUCUGUGCCAGCAGCCGCGGUAAUACAGAGGUCUCAAGCGUUGUUCGGAUUCAUUGGGCGUAAAGGGUGCGUAGGCGGCGCGGUAAGUCGGGUGUGAAAUCUCGGAGCUUAACUCCGAAACUGCAUUCGAUACUGCCGUGCUUGAGGACUGGAGAGGAGACUGGAAUUUACGGUGUAGCGGUGAAAUGCGUAAAUUUCGUAAGGAAGACCAGUGGCGAAGGCGGGUCUCUGGACAGUUCCUGACGCUGAGGCACGAAGGCCAGGGGAAGCAAACGGGAUUAAAUACCCCGGUAGUCCUGGCAGUAAACGGUGCACGUUUGGGGGUGGGAAGGAUU
rnacentral:rRNA from 1 species